rnacentral:rRNA from 2 species
UACGAAGGGGGCUAGCGUUGUUCGGAAUUACUGGGCGUAAAGCGCACGUAGGCGGAUCGAUAAGUAAGGGGUGAAAUCCCAGAGCUCAACUCUGGAACUGCCUUUUAAACUGUCGAUCUGGAGCAGAGUAGAGGUGAGUGGAAUUCCGAGUGUAGAGGUGAAAUUCGUAGAUAUUCGGAGGAACACCAGUGGCGAAGGCGGCUCACUGGACUCUUGCUGACGCUGAGGUGCGAAAGCGUGGGGAGCAAACAGG